rnacentral:rRNA from 1 species
UACGGAGGAUGCGAGCGUUAUCCGGAUUUAUUGGGUUUAAAGGGUGCGUAGGCGGAUUUGUAAGUCAGCGGUGAAAUCUCCAGGCUCAACCUGGAACCUGCCGUUGAAACUGCAGAUCUUGAGUAUGGAUGAAGUAGGCGGAAUUCGUUGUGUAGCGGUGAAAUGCUUAGAUAUAACGAGGAACUCCAAUUGCGUAGGCAGCUUACUAAACCAUAACUGACGCUCAGGCACGAAAGCGUGGGUAUCAAACAGG